GAUGAAGAACGUAGCGAAAUGCGAUAAGUAGUGUGAAUUGCAGAAUUCAGUGAAUCAUCGAAUCUUUGAACGCACAUUGCGGCCAUAGGUAUUCCUUUGGCCAUGCCUGUUCGAGCGUCAUUUACACCCUCAAGCCUAGCUUGGUGUUGGGCGCCUGUCCCGCCGUUUUCGCGCGCGGACUCGCCUCAAAGUCAUUGGCGGCGGUCGUGCCGGCCCCCUCGCGCAGCACAUUUGCGCUUCUCGGAGGCCCGGCGGAUCCGCGCUCCAGCAAGACCUUUCACGACUUGACCUCGGAUCAGGUAGGGAUACCCGCUGAACUUAAGCAUAUCAAUAAGCGGAAGA
rnacentral:misc_RNA from 1 species